ACGCUGGCGGUGUGCUUCACACAUGCAAGUCGAACGAGGUAGCAAUACCUAGUGGCGGACGGGUGAGUAACGCGUGGGAAUCUGCCUUUAGAUGGGGGAUAACGGGUCGAAAGACUCGCUAAUACCGCAUAUGACGAAAGUUGAAAGGAGUAAUCCGUCUAAAGAUGAGCCCGCGUCCGAUUAGCUAGUUGGUAGGGUAAAAGCCUACCAAGGCGACGAUCGGUAGCUGGUCUGAGAGGAUGAUCAGCCACAAUGGGACUGAGACACGGCCCAUACUCCUACGGGAGGCAGCAGUGGGGAAUUUUACGCAAUGGGCGAAAGCCUGACGUAGCGACACCGCGUGAGCGAAGAAGCCCUUUGGGGUGUAAAGCUCUGUCAGCUGGAACGAAAAAAUGACGGUACCAGCAGAGGAAGCAUCGGCUAACUACGUG
rnacentral:rRNA from 1 species